UUUUUUAUGGAGAGUUUGAUCCUGGCUCAGGACGAACGCUGGCGGCGUGCUUAACACAUGCAAGUCGAACGGAAAGGCCUAGCUUGCUAGGUACUCGAGUGGCGAACGGGUGAGUAACACGUGGGUGAUCUGCCUCGUACUUCGGGAUAAGCCUGGGAAACUGGGUCUAAUACUGGAUAGGACCAUGCUUUAGUGUGUGUGGUGGAAAGUUUUUCGGUACGAGAUGAGCCCGCGGCCUAUCAGCUUGUUGGUGGGGUAAUGGCCUACCAAGGCGUCGACGGGUAGCCGGCCUGAGAGGGUGGACGGCCACAUUGGGACUGAGAUACGGCCCAGACUCCUACGGGAGGCAGCAGUGGGGAAUAUUGCACAAUGGGCGCAAGCCUGAUGCAGCGACGCCGCGUGGGGGAUGACGGCCUUCGGGUUGUAAACCUCUUUCGCUAGGGACGAAGCUUUUGUGACGGUACCUAGAUAAGAAGCACCGGCUAACUACGUGCCAGCAGCCGCGGUAAUACGUAGGGUGCGAGCGUUGUCCGGAAUUACUGGGCGUAAAGAGCUCGUAGGUGGUUUGUCGCGUCGUCUGUGAAAUUCCGGGGCUUAACUUCGGGCGUGCAGGCGAUACGGGCAUAACUUGAGUGCUGUAGGGGAGACUGGAAUUCCUGGUGUAGCGGUGGAAUGCGCAGAUAUCAGGAGGAACACCGAUGGCGAAGGCAGGUCUCUGGGCAGUAACUGACGCUGAGGAGCGAAAGCAUGGGGAGCGAACAGGAUUAGAUACCCUGGUAGUCCAUGCCGUAAACGGUGGGCGCUAGGUGUGAGGGUCUUCCACGACUUUCGUGCCGUAGCUAACGCAUUAAGCGCCCCGCCUGGGGAGUACGGCCGCAAGGCUAAAACUCAAAGGAAUUGACGGGGGCCCGCACAAGCGGCGGAGCAUGUGGAUUAAUUCGAUGCAACGCGAAGAACCUUACCUGGGCUUGACAUAUGCAGGAUCGGCGUAGUGAUACGUUUUCCCUUGUGGUCUGUAUACAGGUGGUGCAUGGUUGUCGUCAGCUCGUGUCGUGAGAUGUUGGGUUAAGUCCCGCAACGAGCGCAACCCUUGUCUUAUGUUGCCAGCACGUGAUGGUGGGGACUCAUGAGAGACUGCCGGGGUUAACUCGGAGGAAGGUGGGGAUGACGUCAAAUCAUCAUGCCCCUUAUGUCCAGGGCUUCACACAUGCUACAAUGGUCGGUACAACGCGCUGCGAGCCUGUGAGGGUGAGCGAAUCGCUGAAAGCCGGCCUCAGUUCGGAUUGGGGUCUGCAACUCGACCCCAUGAAGUCGGAGUCGCUAGUAAUCGCAGAUCAGCAACGCUGCGGUGAAUACGUUCCCGGGCCUUGUACACACCGCCCGUCACGUCAUGAAAGUUGGUAACACCCGAAGCCAGUGGCCUAACCCUUGUGGGGGGGAGCUGUCGAAGGUGGGAUCGGCGAUUGGGACGAAGUCGUAACAAGGUAGCCGUACCGGAAGGUGCGGCUGGAUCACCUCCUUUCUAAGGAG
rnacentral:rRNA from 1 species